CUGUCCAAUGAAUUUAAUUUAAAAAAUAUAUUAAAUGACUGCAGUAAUUUAACUGUACUAAGGUAGCAUAAUCAUUUGUUUUUUAAUUUGAAACUUGAAUGAAAGAUUAAAUGAAAAUAAACUGUUUUAAUUUUAAUUGAAUAAAUUUAUUUUUUUAUUUAAAAAAAUAAAAUUUUUUUAAAAAGACGAUAAGACCCUAUAGAAUUUAAUUUAAUAUAAUUAUAUUUAUAAUUAAAUUUAAAAUUUAUAUAUUUAUAUUAAAUUUAAUUGGGGUUAUUUUAAAAUUUAAUUAAUUUUUUAACUUUUAAAACAAAAAUUUUUGUUAAUUUUGAUUAAUUAAUAAUUAUUAAAAGAAUAAAUUACCUUAGGGAUAACAGCGUUAAUUUUUAUAUUAAUUUUAUUAAUUUAGAAAGUUUGCGACCUCGAUGUUGAAUUA
rnacentral:rRNA from 1 species